AGAGUUUGAUCAUGGCUCAGAUUGAACGCUGGCGGCAGGCCUAACACAUGCAAGUCGAACGGUAACAGGAAACAGCUUGCUGUUUCGCUGACGAGUGGCGGACGGGUGAGUAAUGUCUGGGAAACUGCCUGAUGGAGGGGGAUAACUACUGGAAACGGUAGCUAAUACCGCAUAACGUCGCAAGACCAAAGAGGGGGACCUUCGGGCCUCUUGCCAUCGGAUGUGCCCAGAUGGGAUUAGCUUGUUGGUGGGGUAACGGCUCACCAAGGCGACGAUCCCUAGCUGGUCUGAGAGGAUGACCAGCCACACUGGAACUGAGACACGGUCCAGACUCCUACGGGAGGCAGCAGUGGGGAAUAUUGCACAAUGGGCGCAAGCCUGAUGCAGCCAUGCCGCGUGUAUGAAGAAGGCCUUCGGGUUGUAAAGUACUUUCAGCGGGGAGGAAGGGAGUAAAGUUAAUACCUUUGCUCAUUGACGUUACCCGCAGAAGAAGCACCGGCUAACUCCGUGCCAGCAGCCGCGGUAAUACGGAGGGUGCAAGCGUUAAUCGGAAUUACUGGGCGUAAAGCGCACGCAGGCGGUUUGUUAAGUCAGAUGUGAAAUCCCCGGGCUCAACCUGGGAACUGCAUCUGAUACUGGCAAGCUUGAGUCUCGUAGAGGGGGGUAGAAUUCCAGGUGUAGCGGUGAAAUGCGUAGAGAUCUGGAGGAAUACCGGUGGCGAAGGCGGCCCCCUGGACGAAGACUGACGCUCAGGUGCGAAAGCGUGGGGAGCAAACAGGAUUAGAUACCCUGGUAGUCCACGCCGUAAACGAUGUCGACUUGGAGGUUGUGCCCUUGAGGCGUGGCUUCCGGAGCUAACGCGUUAAGUCGACCGCCUGGGGAGUACGGCCGCAAGGUUAAAACUCAAAUGAAUUGACGGGGGCCCGCACAAGCGGUGGAGCAUGUGGUUUAAUUCGAUGCAACGCGAAGAACCUUACCUGGUCUUGACAUCCACGGAAGUUUCCAGAGAUGGAUUGGUGCCUUCGGGAACUGUGAGACAGGUGCUGCAUGGCUGUCGUCAGCUCGUGUUGUGAAAUGUUGGGUUAAGUCCCGCAACGAGCGCAACCCUUAUCCUUUGUUGCCAGCGGUCCGGCCGGGAACUCAAAGGAGACUGCCAGUGAUAAACUGGAGGAAGGUGGGGAUGACGUCAAGUCAUCAUGGCCCUUACGACCAGGGCUACACACGUGCUACAAUGGCGCAUACAAAGAGAAGCGACCUCGCGAGAGCAAGCGGACCUCAUAAAGUGCGUCGUAGUCCGGAUUGGAGUCUGCAACUCGACUCCAUGAAGUCGGAAUCGCUAGUAAUCGUGGAUCAGAAUGCCACGGUGAAUACGUUCCCGGGCCUUGUACACACCGCCCGUCACACCAUGGGAGUGGGUUGCAAAAGAAGUAGGUAGCUUAACCUUCGGGAGGGCGCUUACCACUUUGUGAUUCAUGACUGGGGUGAAGUCGUAACAAGGUAACCGUAGGGGAACCUGCGGUUGGAUCACCU
rnacentral:rRNA from 2 species